GCGCACCAGGCGCGAAUACUCCGCAAUGCCCGAAAGGGUGACGGGGGAGUUCCAAGUGCCUACGCUUAGCGUAGGCUGUUCAGGUGCCUAAAAAGACACCUGGAGGAAGGGCGUGGGUAAGACGGGUGCCAGCCGCCGCGGUAAUACCGCAGCCCGAGUGGUAGUCGCUUUUAUUGGGCCUAAAGCGUCCGUAGCCGGUCUGGUAAAUGCCUGGGUAAAUCGUGGGGCUUAACCUCACGAAUUCCGGGUAGACUGCCAGACUUGGGACCGGUUGAGGGAGAGGGUACUCCAGGGGUAGGGGUGAAAUCAGCAAGGUAAGCUGAUGUAACCUGCCUUGCAAGUCACAAUCCUGUAAUCCUUGGAGGACCACCGGUGGCGAAAGCGCUCUCCUAGGACGGGUCCGACGGUGAGGGACGAAAGCCAGGGGAGCAAACCGGAUUAGAUACCGCGUAGU
rnacentral:rRNA from 1 species